rnacentral:rRNA from 1 species
UACGUAGGGUGCAAGCGUUGUCCGGAAUUAUUGGGCGUAAAGAGCUCGUAGGCGGUCUGUCGCGUCGGCUGUGAAAACCCGGAGCUCAACUCCGGGCCUGCAGUCGAUACGGGCAAACUGGAGUGUUGCAGGGGAGACUGGAAUUCCCGGUGUAGCGGUGAAAUGCGCAGAUAUCAGGAGGAACACCGGUGGCGAAGGCGGGUCUCUGGGCAACAACUGACGCUGAGGAGCGAAAGCGUGGGGAGCGAACAGG